UUCGGAGUAGAGAAAUGGUAUCUCGUCGGGCUCAUAACCCGAAGAUUGUUAGUUCGAAUCUAGCCUCCGAAACCA
rnacentral:tRNA from 1 species